GAUGAACGCUGGCGGCGUGCCUAAUACAUGCAAGUCGAGCGAACAGAUGAGGAGCUUGCUCCUCUGACGUUAGCGGCGGACGGGUGAGUAACACGUGGAUAACCUACCUAUAAGACUGGGAUAACUUCGGGAAACCGGAGCUAAUACCGGAUAAUAUAUUGAACCGCAUGGUUCAAUAGUGAAAGACGGUUUUGCUGUCACUUAUAGAUGGAUCCGCGCCGCAUUAGCUAGUUGGUAAGGUAACGGCUUACCAAGGCAACGAUGCGUAGCCGACCUGAGAGGGUGAUCGGCCACACUGGAACUGAGACACGGUCCAGACUCCUACGGGAGGCAGCAGUAGGGAAUCUUCCGCAAUGGGCGAAAGCCUGACGGAGCAACGCCGCGUGAGUGAUGAAGGUCUUCGGAUCGUAAAGCUCUGUUAUUAGGGAAGAACAAAUGUGUAAGUAACUAUGCACGUCUUGACGGUACCUGAUCAGAAAGCCACGGCUAACUACGUG
rnacentral:rRNA from 1 species